UACAGAGGGGGCAAGCGUUGUUCGGAAUUACUGGGCGUAAAGGGCGCGUAGGCGGCCUUCUAAGUCGAACGUGAAAUCCCCGGGCUCAACCCGGGAACUGCGUCCGAUACUGGAAGGCUUGAGUUUGGGAGAGGGAUGCGGAAUUCCAGGUGUAGCGGUGAAAUGCGUAGAUAUCUGGAGGAACACCGGUGGCGAAGGCGGCAUCCUGGCCCAACACUGACGCUGAGUGAGCGAAAGCCAGGGGAGCAAACGGG
rnacentral:rRNA from 1 species